rnacentral:misc_RNA from 1 species
CAUAGGGCUGUCUCUUCACUCUCCCACCCGUCAUUGAACAUGUCGUGGUCGGGAUGCUUCCGAUCGGUUGCCUGUGCGGUUCUACCCUCUUGUGGGUAGCGAACUCGUCCCUUGAUGGAUAUAUGCUUGCCCUUGUGACAUUUUUGUGUCGUUUGGGCAGCCGAAAUGUUGGCGAUAUCCUUGUGUUGGCGCGUGGUUGAAUGCUGUGUUGCUAUCACUUGGAUUUUUGCCGGCUCUCACGGAUGCGGUGCCUAGCGCUAGCUCUGCGGGACUUUGCCCCGCAGACUUCGGGAGGUCCCUUGUACGAAUCAUUGCUCUUAUACGCCGUCUUGUYGUGCCGCUACCGUGGCACGCAGAUCGUGUUCUUUCGUGCAGUCGUUGACAGCACGAAAGCGAACAUUAGUGUCCGGAGCGUGGUCUUGUGCACGUGGAAUGCCUCUCCGAUCGUAUGAGUAGCG